rnacentral:rRNA from 1 species
AUUGAACGCUGGCGGCAUGCCUAACACAUGCAAGUCGAACGGUAGAGGGGCAACCCUUGAGAGUGGCGGACGGGUGAGUAGCGUAUCGGAUCAUGCCCGAUCGUGGGGGAUAACGUAGCGAAAGUUACGCUAAUACCGCAUACGAUCUGAGGAUGAAAGCGGGGGACCGAAAGGCCUCGCGCGAUCGGAGUGGCCGAUAUCAGAUUAGGUAGUUGGUGGGGUAAAGGCCUACCAAGCCGACGAUCUGUAGCUGGUCUGAGAGGACGACCAGCCACACUGGGACUGAGAAACGGCCCAGACUCGUACGGGAGGCAGCAGUGGGGAAUUUUGGACAAUGGGCGAAAGCCUGAUCCAGCAAUGCCGCGUGCAGGACGAAGGCCUUCGGGUUGUAAACUGCUUUUGUACGGAGCGAAAGGGUCUACUCUAAUACAGUGGGCUGAUGACGGUACCGUAAGAAUAAGCACCGGCUAACUACGUGCCAGCAGCCGCCGCCGUAA